CCUACGGGUGGCAGCAGUGAGGAAUAUUGGUCAAUGGGCGGAAGCCUGAACCAGCCAAGUAGCGUGCAGGAUGACGGCCCUACGGGUUGUAAACUGCUUUUAUACGGGAAUAACGCGCCUUACGUGUAGGGCUUUGCAUGUACCGUAUGAAUAAGGACCGGCUAAUUCCGUGCCAGCAGCCGCGGUAAUACGGAAGGUCCGGGCGUUAUCCGGAAUGACUGGGCGUAAAGGGUGCGUAGGUGGUUUGACAAGUUGGUAGCGUAACUCCGAGGCUUAACCUCGGCACUACUACCAAAACUGUUGGACUCGAGUGCAGGAGGGGCAAAUGGAAUUCCUAGUGUAGCGGUGGAAUGCGUAGAUAUUAGGAGGAACACCAGUGGCGAAGGCGAUUUGCUGGACUGUAACUGACACUGAGGCACGAAAGCGUGGGGAGCAAACAGGAUUAGAUACCCGGGUAGUC
rnacentral:rRNA from 1 species